rnacentral:rRNA from 1 species
UAUUGGAUCUAGAAACUGAUAACUAAAGGAGCAAUUCGCUUUGGGAGGGACCUGCGUCCCAUCAGCUAGUUGGUGAGGUAACGGCUCACCAAGGCUACGACGGGUAGGGGACCUGAGAGGGUGGCCCCCCACAAUGGAACUGAAACACGGUCCAUACACCUACGGGUGGCAGCAGUAGGGAAUAUUGCACAAUGGGCGAAAGCCUGAUGCAGCAACGCCGCGUGUGCGAUGAAGGCCUUCGGGUCGUAAAGCACUUUUCUGAGAGAUGAGAAAGGACAGUAUCUCAGGAAUAAGUCUCGGCUAACUACGUGCCAGCAGCCGCGGUAACACGUAGGAGGCGAGCGUUAUCCGGAUUCACUGGGCGUAAAGCGCGUGCAGGCGGUUUGGUAAGUUGAUCGUGAAAGCUCCCGGCUCAACUGGGAGAGGUCGUUCAAUACUACCAAACUAGAGAGU